AUAUCUGCGAGUGCAGCAAGAUCAAGAUUCACACCUCCAAAGGACUUCAUAAGUGCACAUGUUUAUACAUAUAUACCUAUGUUGUGUUGGCUAGCUCUCUAUGGAAGUUCCAACAAAGAAGUGAUGAGAAUCUUGAUGAUGCUGCACCGGCAAAUAC
rnacentral:pre_miRNA from 1 species